rnacentral:rRNA from 1 species
CAGGCGCUGCUACCAUGCAAGUCGAACGUGAUCCGCCCUUCGGGGUGGUGAAAGUGGCGCACGGGUGAGUAACGCGUGGAUAAUCUGCCCGAGGAUUUGGGAUAACAUCUCGAAAGGGGUGCUAAUACCGAAUAAGCCCACGGGGUCUACGGAUCUUGCGGGAAAAGGGGGGGACCUUCGGGCCUCCUGUCCUUGGAUGAGUCUGCGUACCAUUAGCUAGUUGGUGGGGUAAUGGCCUACCAAGGCGACGAUGGUUAGCUGGUCUGAGAGGAUGAUCAGCCACACUGGAACUGAGACACGGUCCAGACUCCUACGGGAGGCAGCAGUGGGGAAUUUUGCGCAAUGGGGGAAACCCUGACGCAGCAACGCCGCGUGGGUGAUGAAGGCCUUCGGGUCGUAAAGCUCUGUCUGGAGGGAAGAAAUGAUUGGGAGCUAAUACCUCUUGAUCUUGACGGUACCUCUGAAGGAAGCACCGGCUAACUCCGUGCCAGCAGCCGCGGUAAUACGGAGGGUGCAAGCGUUGUUCGGAAUUAUUGGGCGUAAAGCGCGUGUAGGCGGUCUUUUAAGUCUGAUGUGAAAGCCCCGGGCUCAACCUGGGAAGUGCAUUGGAAACUGGGAGGCUUGAGUACGGGAGAGGAGAGUGGAAUUCCUAGUGUAGGAGUGAAAUCCGUAGAUAUUAGGAGGAACACCGGUGGCGAAGGCGGCUCUCUGGACCGAUACUGACGCUGAGACGCGAAAGCGUGGGUAGCAAACAGGAUUAGAUACCCUGGUAGUCCACGCCGUAACGAUGAGUACUAGGUGUUGCGGGUAUUGACCCCUG